rnacentral:rRNA from 1 species
CGCGCAGGCGGGUCAAUAAGUCAGAGGUGAAAUCCUACAGCUUAACUGUAGAACUGCCUUUGAUACUGUUGAUCUUGAGUAUGGAAGAGAGAGACGGAAUUCCAGGUGUAGUGGUGAAAUACGUAGAUAUCUGGAAGAACACCAGUUGCGAAGGCGGUCUCUUGGUCCAAUACUGACGCUGAGGCGCGAAAGCGGUGGGUAGCAAACA